CUAGUAAUCGUGGAUCAGAAUGCCACGGUGAAUACGUUCCCGGGUCUUGUACACACCGCCCGUCACACCAUGGAAGUUGAUUGCUCCAGAAGUAGGUAGCUUAAAAAUGGGCGCUUACCACGGAGUGGUCGAUGACUGGGGUGAAGUCGUAACAAGGUAGCCGUAGGGGAACCUGCGGCUGGAUCACCUCCUUUAAA
rnacentral:rRNA from 1 species